UGGGGGAUAUUGCACAAUGGGGGAAACCCUGAUGCAGCGACGCCGCGUGGAGGAAGAAGGUUUUCGGAUUGUAAACUCCUGUCGUUAGGGACGAUAAUGACGGUACCUAACAAGAAAGCACCGGCUAACUACGUGCCAGCAGCCGCGGUAAAACGUAGGGUGCAAGCGUUGUCCGGAAUUACUGGGUGUAAAGGGAGCGCAGGCGGACCGGCAAGUUGGAAGUGAAAACUAUGGGCUCAACCCAUAAAUUGCUUUCAAAACUGCUGGCCUUGAGUAGUGCAGAGGUAGGUGGAAUUCCCCGUGUAGCGGUGAAAUGCGUAGAGAUGGGGAGGAACACCAGUGGCGAAGGCGGCCUGCUGGGCUUUAACUGACGCUGAGGCACGAAAGCGUGGGUAGCAAACAGGAUUAGAUACCCUGGUAGUCCACGCUGUAAACGAUGAUUACUAGGUGUGGGGGGUCUGACCCCUUCCGUGCCGGAGUUAACACAAUAAGUAAUCCACCUGGGGAGUACGACCGCAAGGUUGAAACUCAAAGGAAUUGACGGGGGCCCGCACAAGCAGUGGAGUAUGUGGUUUAAUUCGACGCAACGCGAAGAACCUUACCAAGUCUUGACAUCCUGCGACGAUGCUGGAAACAGUAUUUUCCUUCGGGACACAGAGACAGGUGGUGCAUGGUUGUCGUCAGCUCGUGUCGUGAGAUGUUGGGUUAAGUCCCGCAACGAGCGCAACCCUUACUGUCAGUUACUACGCAAGAGGACUCUGGCAGGACUGCCGUUGACAAAACGGAGGAAGGUGGGGAUGACGUCAAAUCAUCAUGCCCUUUAUGACUUGGGCUACACACGUACUACAAUGGCGUUAAACAAAGAGAAGCAAGACCGCGAGGUGGAGCAAAACUCAGAAACAACGUCCCAGUUCGGACUGCAGGCUGCAACUCGCCUGCACGAAGUCGGAAUUGCUAGUAAUCGUGGAUCAGCAUGCCACGGUGAAUACGUUCCC
rnacentral:rRNA from 1 species